GCACUGCUGAGGAGUCCCAAACUAGGACGAAACAGCUGUUCAGUAC
rnacentral:hammerhead_ribozyme from 1 species